UACGAACCGUACAAACGUUAUUCGGAAUCACUGGGCUUAAAGGGUGCGUAGGCGGCCAUGUAAGUGAGGUGUGAAAUCCCUCGGCUUAACCGGGGGAACUGCGCUUGAUACUGGAUGGCUUGAGUUUGGGAGAGGGAUGCGGAAUUCCAGGUGUAGCGGUGAAAUGCGUAGAUAUCGGGAGGAACACCGAUGGCGAAGGCAGGUCACUGGGCCGCAACUGACGCUGAGGAGCGAAAGCAUGGGGAGCGAACAGG
rnacentral:rRNA from 1 species